CUACGGGUUGCACCAGUAAGGAAUAUUGCGCAAUGGAGGCAACUCUGACGCAGCCAUGCCGCGUGCAGGAAGAAGGCCUUAUGGGUCGUAAACUGCUUUUAUUUAGGAAUAAACCCCCGAACGUGUUCGGGGCUGAAGGUACUAAACGAAUAAGCACCGGCUAACUCCGUGCCAGCAGCCGCGGUAAUACGGAGGGUGCAAGCGUUAUCCGGAUUUAUUGGGUUUAAAGGGUGCGCAGGCGGACUAUUAAGUCAGUGGUGAAAUCCCGGGGCUCAACUCCGGAACUGCCAUUGAUACUGAUAGUCUUGAGUUUGGUUGAAGUGGGCGGAAUGUAGCAUGUAGCGGUGAAAUGCAUAGAUAUGCUACAGAACACCAAUCGCGAAGGCAGCUCACUAAGCCAAAACUGACGCUCAUGCACGAAAGCGUGGGGAUCAAACAGGAUUAGAUACCCUCGUAGUC
rnacentral:rRNA from 1 species